rnacentral:rRNA from 1 species
AGGCGACGAUCCCUAGCUGGUCUGAGAGGAUGACCAGCCACACUGGAACUGAGACACGGUCCAGACUCCUACGGGAGGCAGCAGUGGGGAAUAUUGCACAAUGGGCGCAAGCCUGAUGCAGCCAUGCCGCGUGUAUGAAGAAGGCCUUCGGGUUGUAAAGUACUUUCAGCGGGGAGGAAGGGAGUAAAGUUAAUACCUUUGCUCAUUGACGUUACCCGCAGAAGAAGCACCGGCUAACUCCGUGCCAGCAGCCGCGGUAAUACGGAGGGUGCAAGCGUUAAUCGGAAUUACUGGGCGUAAAGCGCACGCAGGCGGUUUGUUAAGUCAGAUGUGAAAUCCCCGGGCUCAACCUGGGAACUGCAUCUGAUACUGGCAAGCUUGAGUCUCGUAGAGGGGGGUAGAAUUCCAGGUGUAGCGGUGAAAU